rnacentral:rRNA from 1 species
CCUACGGUAGGCAGCAGUGAGGAAUAUUGGUCAAUGGGCGGUAGCCUGAACCAGCCAAGUAGCGUGAGGGAUGACUGCCCUAUGGGUUGUAAACUGCUUUUGUAUGGGGAUAAAAUCCUCCACGUGUGGUGGUCUGCAGGUACCGUGUGAAUAAGGAUCGGCUAACUCCGUGCCAGCAGCCGCGGUAAUACGGAAGAUCCGAGCGUUAUCCGGAUUUAUUGGGUUUAAAGGGAGCGUAGGCGGGGCGUUAAGUCAGUUGUUAAAGUUUGCGGCUCAACCGUAACAUUGCAGUUGAAACUGGACGCCUUGAGUACACAACAGGCAGGCGGAAUUCGUGGUGUAGCGGUGAAAUGCUUAGAUAUCACGAAGAACCCCGAUUGCGAAGGCAGCCUGCUGGACUGCAACUGACGCUGAGGCUCGAAAGUGUGGGUAUCAAACAGGAUUAGAUACCCCGGUAGUC